GCAGUGGUGGCGAAAUCGGUAAACGCGCCGGGCUUGGACUCCGGUGAGGCGGUCCCUCAGAAAGACCAUACGCCUCUUGUCGGUUCAACCCCGACCCACUGCACCA
rnacentral:tRNA from 1 species